AACUCUCCCUGCCAGCCCCGCUCCCACCCGGGGAGGGAGCCAAAGCCAUUGGGCCGUGGCGCACGCUGCACGCUUGAUCUGAGGAACUGCGAUGUUCCGUGUUUUCAGCGACGUUUAUGCUUAAACCUGGAACCUGGCCCCAUGACUUAAUGGCGAGGUCGGUGUGAGGUGAUCUUCAAGGCCCCGGGCUCGUGGAGCCGGUGCUGGGAAGCAGCUGGUGAAAGGUGGAGGGUUGAGGAAGGGCCGCAGGCUUCCUUCUCCCUGAGCACACAGUCUGCGCCCUCAGCCUGACCUGAGGGAUGCAUGACCUUGAUACUGUUCCUGCAAGGUGUAUCAAGAGCAGACCACUGGCCUGGCAACUCAUCUGCACUGGGCUAUGAGCAGCAGCUGCAAGCACCCAGCUGUGGUACAGCUGAUGGCUUUCAGAAAAGGAGCAACUGAUCUCUAAGGUCACAUCAAAUGAUCCAAAGUUCGCACCAAGAGAAACAGAUCCAUUCUAGGCUGCCAAGGCAAGAACUGUGAAUUAGAAACCAACCUCCCAUGGAGAUAUAAAGAGGGAAAUACCAGAAUCAGCAUUACAAACUAACACUUCCAUUUUGUCAAGUAUCAAAGUAACAGAAAUUCUAGGAGCUUAAAGUGGUUCAACUAGUCAAAAAAACCCCAAGGAGACUAGCCCAUAUAACUAACAGUUCUCCCAAAUAACUUGUUCUGAGUGCUGUUCUUCAGCCAAAAUGCUUCCUAAAAGAGGGGGAGGGGCAAGCAGGAAGCAGAGGGGAGAAGAGAGUGAGAAAACAUGUCUUUAUGCAUGUGAGUGCUAGCACAAAAGCUUCUUGCUCUAGGAAGGGAACAAAUUAUGAACAUUGGGAAUAGGCAAACAGUGGAAAGUAGGUCUGUGACUGAAAAUGCUCACAUCCAGUGACAUUUUUGUUUUAACUGAAGCAGAUGACCCGCCUGAUGACAGUACCAGUAGCUGGUACAAUCUUCCUCUCUUUCAUUGCACCUUGGCACUAGUCUGAAUGCCACUACAGCUGCAUCCUCUCCCAUUAAUAUAAACAAGGGAUCAAAGAGUGCAGUGCUGACAUGCUGGCUGCCUUGUGCACAGCUAACUUGGGGGGACACCAAGAAAGGGCAACG